rnacentral:rRNA from 1 species
AGGACGUGGCGUAGCUGCGAUAAGCUUCGGGGAGGUGUGUAGCAACCUUUGAUCCGGAGAUUUCCGAAUGGGGAAACCCUGUUAGGUAAACCCUAACAAUCUUCAUCUUUAUGAUGAAGGAGCGCACCCUGGGAAGUGAAACAUCUCAGUACCAGGAGGAAAAGAGAAAAAUAUUUAUUUCCGUAGUAGCGGCGAGCGAAAUGGAAAGAGCCCAAACCGAAGUAGCAAUACUUCGGGGUCAUAAGAUAGCAAUGUAGGAUUUAUUCUAGAGGAGUCAAAAAACACUUAAUUAGCUUAAGUUGCUGGAAAGCAAUAUCGUAGAGGGUGAUAAUCCCGUGAGCGAAAAUUUUGUGUCUCUUUUGUUGUUAUUCUUGAGUACCCCAGGACAUCAAUAGCCGGGGGGAAUUCGCCAGAACUAACUGGCAAGGCUAAAUACUUUUAAAGAUCGAUAGUGAACUAGUACCGUGAGGGAAAGGUGAAAAGUAGUCCGAUUAGGACAUUGAAAUAAACCUGAAACCGUAUGUCUACAAGGAGUCGAGGCGGGCAUUUAUGUCCGCUACGGCGUGCCUAUUGAAGAAUGAGCCAACGAGUUUAUGCAUGCUGCUCGGCUAAGUGGACUAAAACCACGAAGCCACAGGGAAACCGAGUGUUAAUAGCGCGUAAUUGGUAACAUGCAUAAGACCCGAAGCCAGGUGAGCUUGCCAUGAGCAGGGUGAAGUAGAUCGAAAGAUUUAUGGAGGCCCGAACCGGUAGAUCGUACAACGUCUUCGGAUGACUUGUGGUAAGGAGUGAAAAGCUAAUCGAACCUGGUAAUAGCUGGUUCUCUCCGAAAUAGCUUUAGGGCUAGCGUCGCGUGUUUCUUUUGGGGGUAGAGCACUGGAAAGUUUCGACAGGGAGCAAUCUCGCGAAACUUAUCAAACUCCGAAUACCAAAAGUAAGAAUGCGGCAGUUACACCGUGGGGGCGAAGCUCCACUGGUGAAAAGGGAAACAGCCCGGAUCUCAAUAUAAGGUCCCUAAAUUCAUGCUAAGUGUAAGACAAGGAGGUUAAAUUUCUUAAACAAUGAGGAGGUUGGCUUAGAAGCAGCCAUCCUUUAAAGAUAGCGUAACAGCUCACUCAUCUAGAGAUUUUGCGCCGAAAAUAAUUGGGGCUAAGCAUGGUACCGAAUGUGAGGAUUUGUAGAAAAUUUAUUUUCUAUGAGUGGUAGGAGAGUGUUCCAAUCUGCAGUGAAGGAGGACCCGUGAGGGCCUCUGGAGCGUUUGGAAGCAAGAAUGUUGGCACAAGUAACCGCAAUGGGGCUGAGAACGCCCCACGUCGAAAGAUCAAGGUUUCCUUGGUAAUGAUAAUCAGCCAAGGGUUAGUCGGGCCUAAGGGAAUGGCGAAAGCUGGACUCGAUGGACACAGGGUUAAUAUUCCCUGACUUUUGUAUAGAGUGAUGGAAGGACGGAGUGUAGUAUGUAUCGCUCAUUAUUGGAUUUGAAGUUUGUUUCUUGAGGAUGAUGUGUAGGAAAAUCCGCACGCUGCUUUUAAUAGCGACUCCAAGAGAAAUGAAAAGUUUACGGCUUCGGCCGUGGGCAAUGAUACAAAGCACGCUUCCAAGAAAAUUUUCUAAACUUAUCUAUAUAAAAUCCGUACCGCAAACCGACACAGGUGAUCAGGUCGAGUAGACCAAGACGAACGAGUGAGUGGUCCCCAAGGAACUCGGCAAAAAAUCAGCCGUAACUUCGGGAUAAGGCUUCCCCGCAUCACUUUGGAUAUUUCCAAUGUAUGAGGGAGAGUUAGUGAAAGACGACCUGCCCGAAUGAAUUCAUUCAGGCGGGGAUAUAAUUUUCCUUCGUGCAAAAAGGAAGUGUACAAGGUGAUGCGGGGCGCAGCGAAAGUAUUCCUGCCAACUGUUUACCAAAAACACAGCUCCCUGCGAACUCGUAAGAGGAUGUAUAGGGGGUGACACCUGACCAAUGCCAGAAGGUCAAAUAUCGGCGGUUAUUCUCUGUCGCAAGACAGGGAAUAGCUGACUGAUAUAAGCCCUGGUGAAUGUCGGCCGUAACUAUAACGGUCCUAAGGUAGCGAAAUACCUUGUCGGGUAAGUUCCGACGCGCACGAAUGGUGUAAUGAGUGGGAAACUGUCUCGGGGACCAGCUCGGUGAAAAUACAAUACCGGUGAAGAUGCCGGUUAAGUGCAGUUAGACGAAAAGACCCUAGAAGCUUUACUAUAACUUGAUAUUGGGCAUGUUCUUUUGCUGCGUAGAAUAUAUGGGAGACUUUGAAGGAAAGAUCUCGGUUUUUCUGGAGUCGACAGUGCAAUACCAUACUUUAAAAGGGCAUGUUCUAACCAAUACGGCAAAAACGUAUUGAGACAGUAUCUGGCGGAUAGUUUUACUGGGGCUGUACCCUCCUAAAAAGUAAAGGAGGGGUUUAAAGGUACUCUAGGCGCGAAUGGAAACCGUGCCGAUAGUGUAAUGGCACAAGAGUGCUUGACUGUAAGGGGUACAUCCCGAGCAGGUGGGAAACCAGAACAUAGUGAUCCGACCAUUCGCUUUAGAUGCGGUGGAAGCUCAACGGAUAAAAGCUACUCUAGGGAUAACAGGCUAGUUCCGCCUAAGCGUCCAUAGCGACGGCGGUGUUCGGCACCUCGAUGUCGGCUCACCUUAGCGCGGUGGUGAAGAAGCUA